GCGGCCGGUCGGAAGAACCUCGGGUGCUGGCGCGCCUGAAGUUGCAGACCAGACUGAAAUGUGCGAGACAUGUGCCUUUUUCUUAGGAAAGGCCCCAGGUACCAGAAAGGUUUUCAGCGCGCCGACCUACGGGGCUAAGAGGGCUGAAAUAAGAACCAGUGACUGAGCGCCGGGAGGUUUAAGGUUUAUGGAAGAUGUUCAUCGCGCCGUACCCUACUAGAGGUUUGGGGACGUGGGACACAGCCCCUGCGUUCCCGCCGCGGACCCCGUGAUAAAUACACAGACACACAAAAUCACUACCGCCUUGAAUCUGGACAGCUACCUCAGGUGGUUAAUAUCUAACAGGAGCAGAGUGGAGCUCAGAAAGACUCAGCGUGGGUGCUGGGUUCCGGCGCGACCAGCCUGAUACCUAGGUCAGCAUCUCAGCCACACAAGCAGGCGGCAGUUCUGUCAGGAAUUACUACAUCUGGUGAUUCCACUUCUCAUAGCUCACCGCUGGGAGAAUAAUUCCUCAGGAUUAACAAGAUCUAUUCCAGAGGAUCCUCACUGCUGAAGCGAUUUUAGAAGACAGUGUGGUCUGUUGACAGCUUCCUUGGAAAACAACCUAUAACUAACUUUCUGGGAGUAAAGCUUCAGGUGGAAGAACAAUUGGAUCAAACUUGGAAAACAUGCCCCCAGUUUGUCUACUCCAUUGAACUUUGCAUGCUUGGAGCCCCUGGCCUCAGCACACUCAAUCGCACAAGCCAGCCUGCAGCACCUGUACAGCACCAUGGGAGUCCCCUGCAGAGCUGCAACUUUGAGAGUGGGUAUAGUGACGUAACUCAGGUUCUUCAAGGGAUGAACACUCCAACUUUGAAACCACUAGCCUGUAGGUGUGGACGAAAAGGCAGCUGCAUGUUAUAAAACAAUAUUACUCAUACUUUUGGAUCAAGCUUCUUUCAGUCCCAUGGGUAGGGAGGAGGGGCAAUUUGCUGAAGCCCACUGCCCUUCCAGUACUCACAAGCCAAGGGCCCUAUGGGAUCUGUUUCACAGGACUCAUGCUUAUGGCAGCUGAGCACAUCUGUCCUGUAUGUCUGCCAGCAGCCACGUCCCUCUCACUCCUGUGACGACAGCCUUGACUAUAUUUAGAAAUUCCAUUUCUGAUUGCAUUUCACUGCUGAAUGGUCCUAGAAUCCUUUAUUGCCCUUGUCCCAUCACAAGAGACAGCCAGCCACAGCCACUUUUAUCUCAACAACAUACUGAAUACUGACAGAACAAACAGGCAAG
rnacentral:lncRNA from 1 species